UACGUAGGGUGCGAGCGUUGUCCGGAAUUAUUGGGCGUAAAGAGCUUGUAGGCGGUUUGUCGCGUCUGCCGUGAAAGCCCAGGGCUUAACCCUGGGUCUGCGGUGGGUACGGGCAGACUAGAGUGUGGUAGGGGAGACUGGAAUUCCUGGUGUAGCGGUGAAAUGCGCAGAUAUCAGGAGGAACACCGAUGGCGAAGGCAGGUCUCUGGGCCACUACUGACGCUGAGGAGCGAAAGCGUGGGGAGCGAACAGG
rnacentral:rRNA from 1 species